AGAUGCGACCAUACCAGCACUAAAGCACCGGAUCCCAUCAGAACUCCGAAGUUAAGCGUGCUUGGGCGAGAGUAGUACUAGGAUGGGUGACCUCCUGGGAAGUCCUCGUGUUGCAUUCC
rnacentral:rRNA from 1 species